AGCUUCUGUGCUAAUGGACGUCCGUCUGGGGUACGUUGAUUUAGACAAGCCUUAUUUUGGGAAGAUUGCUGAUUUAUCCACGCCUUCCGAAGCAGGCUGGCAACAUGGUCAUGGUCAACACCAUCCGCUGGUUCCGGAAGGGACUGAGGCAGCACGACAAGCCGUCUCUGAUCGGCAUCAACAGGGUUGCGGGGGUGCUGGAGCCUAUCCCAGCUGUCUUCGGGCGAGAGGCGGGGUACACCCUGGACUGGUGGCCAGCCAAUCACCGCACAUAUCCGUCGGCCGCUAGGUGGCGCGCAGCACCAGCGGCUGCGUUUACAACUUGCUACUCAGCUGAGGCAGCGCUUGCGUGCCGACCGUCCCCGGGAAGCCUCCGUCGAAGGCGGCGUUCAGCACCUGAUCCAGGUCGCCGGCGGUGACGAAGUCGAGGUCGGCCCGCACGUUCGCCGGCAGCUCGUCCAGGUCCUUUUCGUUGCGUUUGGGGAGGAUGACUCGCUUCACGCCCGCCCUGUGCGCCGCCAGGACCUUGUCUUUGAUCCCGCCCACCUGAGGAAGGCAGAGACGUCUGAUUGGUCGAGGACUCACUGUUGGUGAGCUGGUAGGUUUUGGCGUUGGCUCGGAGCCAGCUGAUUGACAGAUGCGCCGAUUCCUUCAUGACGUCUCCGAGCUGCCCCGUGAGCGUCAGCUGACCUUCGCCCUCCGUGCGACUGGCCUCCACGAACAUGAUCUCCCCGCCAAAAGGGGUCCAGGCAAGACCGAGGGCCACGCCGGGUAGGGUGAGACGCUCCGACACCUAAACCACAUACACAUAUAGGACCCACACAUACAUUUUAUGAGGGGGGGGGGGCAGACCUCAAUAAAAGAAGUCCUCUUUUCCAAAUGAGGUCAUAAAUGUGUAAAAAAGAGUGACAUAACAGGAGGCGCAUCGAAAUAAAAAUGAUUUAGAGCAGAUGUCGAGCUCAAAGACUCACAACAACAAUUGUUUUUUUUUUUUUUGGGGGGGGGGGAUUACAACAUUUGGAGAUCGACUUUCAAUCAUGUCCGAGGAUUUACGAACUUAACCCGAAUGAUCCGAUUACCUCCAUGUCGAAGAUCGGCGCUCCAAGGAUGUCUUUGAGGGCCGCAUGGUCGAUCACGAUGGGCAUCUCCGGGGGUGCCGUCUUAUCUGUUCAGUAAAUAAUAACGCAUCAGCUUCCACCCCCCCCUCACAGACAGGAACUUCAACAAAGCUGAACCAAGAAGAACGUUAUCUGAAGCACAUGGUUCCAGUUCAAGGGGACCUAUGAUGCUUUGUAUUGAGUUGUGGACUCCUAUAGAGCAGCUACACAAAAUAACCAAGCACACAAAGCUUUCUAGAUCUUCUAGAAUGUGCACCUAAUCCAGCAGUAUUUCCUCGGCUCUCAUGCUAACCAAGAAAAUGGUCUGUUUAAACUCACCUGAUAUUAUCCUAUCAAGUAGUGGAGGUCUAUCCUAUCAAGUAGAGGAGGUCUAUCCUAUCAAGUAGUCUACCCUAUCAAGCAGCGGAGGUCCACCCUAUCAAGUAGCGGAGGUCUAUCCUAUCAAGUAGAGGAGGAGGAGGUCUACCCUAUCAAGUAGUGGAGGUCUACCCUAUCAAGUAGUGGAGGUCUACCCUAUCAAGUAGUGGAGGUCUACCCUAUCAAGUAGCGGAGGUCUACCCUACCAAGUAGCGGAGGUCCACCCUAUCAAGUAGCGGAGGUCCAUCCUAUCAAGUAGCGGAAGUAUACCCUAUCAAGUAGCGGAAGUAUACCCUAUCAAGUAGCGGAGGUCCACCCUAUCAAGUAGAGGAGGAGGAGGUCUAUCCUAUCAAGUAGUCUACCCUAUCAAGCAGCGGAGGUCCACCCUAUCAAGUAGCGGAGGUCUAUCCUAUCAAGUAGAGGAGGAGGAGGUCUAUCCUAUCAAGUAGUGGAGGUCUACCCUAUCAAGUAGUGGAGGUCUACCCUAUCAAGUAGUGGAGGUCUACCCUAUCAAGUAGCGGAGGUCUACCCUACCAAGUAGCGGAGGUCCACCCUAUCAAGUAGCGGAGGUCCAUCCUAUCAAGUAGCGGAAGUAUACCCUAUCAAGUAGCGGAAGUAUACCCUAUCAAGUAGCGGAAGUAUACCCUAUCAAGUAGCGGAAGUAUACCCUAUCAAGUAGAGGAGGAGGAGGUCUAUCCUAUCAAGUAGUGGAGGUCUACCCUAUCAAGUAGUGGAGGUCUACCCUAUCAAGUAGUGGAGGUCUACCCUAUCAAGUAGUGGAGGUCUACCCUACCAAGUAGCGGAGGUCCACCCUAUCAAGUAGCGGAGGUCCACCCUAUCAAGUAGCGGAGGUCCACCCUAUCAAGUAGCGGAAGUAAACCCUAUCAAGUAGCGGAGGUCCACCCUACCAAGUAGCGGAGGUCCACCCUAUCAAGUAGCGGAGGUCCACCCUACCAAGUAGCGGAGGUCCACCCUACCAAGUAGCGGAGGUCCACCCUAUCAAGUAGCGGAGGUCCAUCCUAUCAAGUAGUGGGUGGAAGUCUACCCUAUCAAGUAGUGGGUGGAAGUCUACCCUAUCAAGUAGUGGGUGGAAGUCUACCCUAUCAAGUAGUGGGUGGAAGUCUACCCUAUCAAGUAGUGGGUGGAAGUCUACCCUAUCAAGUAGCGGAGGUCAUCAUCUUCAUCUGCGGCAUCUUACCUCCUUGCUGUGUUUGACUCUCAGAGGUCAAAUCCUCGCUCUUGGAAUCUCUCUGGUUUUCAGCGAUCUUCACGGCCACGGCUCGACAGAUCGCUCCCAUCUUCCUUUCCAGGGAGCGCACGCCCGCCUCACGCGUGUACCUGUCGGGAUAAACAACAUCAAUAGGAGCACCGGACACAAAUGGCGCCCGGAGCUGCAUUUUGGACACCCCUGUAAUCGUCGCUCGUGCAGCCACCCGCUACGCAUGCUAGUAGCUAAUUCCCAAGUCAGUCGAGUGCUUCCAAACCAAAAUGAAGUCUCUAAUGAAUUCAUGGGCGUGCGUUUGGAACCAGGGAACGCCAUAAACGGGAAGACCACCUGUCUAAUGGAUGAAGGUUGCGUAUUAGUUUGACAGAUGUUCUCGCUCCGUGCCAGCGAGAUACAAGUAGUCAAUCAAGCCCUUGACAACUUAAUGACGGCCUCCGAUAACGACUCUGCGGAAUUCCAAUGCGAGCUACCAGCUGUGCUCGCAUGGAAGCGAGGCCUCACACAGACUCUUCCAACCCAAUAUCCUGAUACGUUUCGGGAAUAGACAGGUGUCCCGGACGUCUUCCUGAAGUUAGCGUGUACCUGUUUAUGAUUUCCUUUGUAGUGUCUGCCGGGAUAUGCAGUUGUUUAUCCGUUAGUCCGUGCUGCUCCAGUUGGUUUGGGAUCAGGUGCCGGUGAGUUAUCUCCACCUUCUCUUCCUGGGUGUAGCCUGGAACACAAAUCCCGUCAUUUCAUUCGCAUGAAUUUUGUCCUUGAACUUAAGUAAAACUAAAAUCAUGUUGUUUAGUAACAGCAGAAAAGACUAAGAAUACUAAUAGACGGUGUAGACAUUGAAAGUGUGACGGAUAACUAUAAAAAUAACUGUAAAAGCAAUCUUCACUCGCUAAAUGUACUGCAAAAAAAGGCCAGUAAGGAUAAUUCAUAAUGCCGCCUACAGAGAACAUACUAACUUGUUUCUAAAAUCACAAAUCCUUCAACUUGCUGAUAUAGUUCAUCUUCAAACAGCUAAAAUAAUGCAUAAGGCUAAAAAUAAACAAUUAGCUAAAAAUGUCAUAUCACCUCGUACUUCGGUAUGGGACAAAAAAAAUAAAAAUUAAAAAAAAAAAACUCAAAUUGUAUUAAGAAAGCAGGAAGUGAACAAAUGUAACAGUUAGUACCAGAAGGAGGGGUAGGAUUUAAUAAGCUUAAUUUAAUUUAAUAAGCUGCUGGGUUCAGAGGUCCAAAACAAACAAACCAAAAAAAUUUAAUUUAAUUUAAUAAAACAAAAUUAAACUAUAAUAUGGAAAGCAGGAAGUGAACAAAUGUAACAGUUACUGAUUGUAAAAGUACCAGAUGGAGGGGUAGGAUUUAAUUAAUUUAAUUUAAUUUAAUAAAAAAAAAACUAUAUUAUGGAAAGCAGGAAGUGAACAAAUGUAACAGUUACUGAUCCUAAUCAAAUCCUAAUCAACACUUUACCACCGACCGGUUCCAAAUCUGACCUUGCAGCACAUCACGUUGCAUAACGUACGCAACAUCGGCGUAUCGAAUCGUGAUUGGACACACAGCUGGACAACACACUCGCAGUACACGUUUGAUGUUCGUGCUAACGUUGUGAGCGGCGCGACCCCCCCCCCCCCCUCCCCAACGCUGAACUCACCCGGCACCUGCAGCACUUCCAUCCUGUCCAGGAGGGCGGGGGGAAUAGUCGCCGUGGUGUUGGCAGUGGCGAUAAAAAGAACUUGAGAGAGAUCAAACGCCACGUUGAGAUAGUGGUCUGUGAAGCUGUGGUUCUGCUCCGGGUCUAGCACCUACGGGGAGAUCCAGAUCCGAAGCUUAGCUUUUCCAGAAAAGGUCAUCUCAGGGUUAGGUUCAGGUGAUGAAAAGGAAUCUGACCUCGAGCAGUGCAGCUGCAGGAUCGCCUUGGAGGCUUUUCCCCAGUUUGUCCACUUCAUCCAGGAGGAAAACUGGAUUAUUGACCCCCACUGUCUUCAAGCCGUUGAUGAUGCGGCCCGGCAUGCUGCCAACGUACGUACGUCUGGAGACACAAGGAUGGGUUGACUCCAAUAAGAGGAUGAAGACAGAUUUUUCUUUUUUUUCUGGUUUAAAAAAAUAAAUCAAUUAAAAAAAGAGGAGGGGAAAAAGAAAAAAUCCAUCAGUUGUCUUUUUUUUGUUUUUUGUGGUUAAAAAAAUAAAACAAUAAAUUUUAAAAAGAGAAAAUUUUUUUUAUUUUUUGUCGUUAAAAAAAAUCAAUAAAUAAAGAGAAAAAAAAAUUAAAAAUCCAUCAAUUAUAUUUUUUGUGGUUAAAAACAAUUAAUUAAAAAAGAGGAGAAGAAAAAGAAAAAAUCCAUCAGUUGUCUUUUUUUCUUUUUUUGUGGUUAAAAAAAGAAAUCAAUAAAUAAAAAAAGAGGAAAUUUUUUUUUUAAAUCCAUCAAUUAUAUUUUUUGUGGUUAAAAACUAUUAAUUAAAAAAGAGAAGAAGAAAAAGAAAAAAUCCAUCAAUUGUCUUUUUUUUGUUUUUUGUGGUUAAAUAAAUAAAACAAUAAAUUAAAAAAAAGAGGAAAAAAUCCAUCAAUUUUCUUUUUUGUGGUAAAAAAAAGGAAUCAAUAAAUAAAAAAAGAGAAAAAAAAAUAAAAAAUCCAUCAAUUAUAUUUUUUGUGGUUAAAAACAAUUAAUUAAAGAGGAGAAGAAAAAGAAAAAAUCCAUCAAUUGUCUUUUUUUUGUUUUUUUUGUGGUUAAAAAAUAAAACAAUAAAUUUAAAAAAAAAGAGAAAAAAAAUCCAUCAAUUUUCUUUUUUGUGGUUAAAAAAAGAAAUCAAUAAAUAAAGAGAAAAAAAAAUAAAAAAUCCAUCAAUUAUAUUUUUUUGUGGUUAAAAACUAUUAAUUAAAAAAGAGGAGAAGAAAAAGAAAAAAUCCAUCAGUUGUCUUUUUUUUGUUUUUUUUGUGGUUAAAAAAAUAAAACAAUAAAUUUUUAAAAAAGAGAAAAAAAAUCCAUCAAUUUUCUUUUUUGUGGUUAAAAAAAUAAAUCAAUAAAUAAAAAAAGAGAAAAAAAAUUAAAAAUCCAUCAAUUA